rnacentral:rRNA from 1 species
AAAAUGACAGGUGGUGCAUGGUUGUCGUCAGCUCGUGUCGUGAGAUGUUGGGUUAAGUCCCGCAACGAGCGCAACCCUUAUGACUAGUUGCCAGCAUUUAGUUGGGCACUCUAGUAAGACUGCCGGUGACAAACCGGAGGAAGGUGGGGAUGACGUCAAAUCAUCAUGCCCCUUAUGACCUGGGCUACACACGUGCUACAAUGGAUGGUACAACGAGUUGCGAGACCGCGAGGUCAAGCUAA